rnacentral:tRNA from 1 species
GCGGGAAUAGCUCAGCUGGUAGAGCAUCACGUUGCCAACGUGAAUGUCGCGAGUUCGAAUCUCG